rnacentral:lncRNA from 1 species
AAAUCCCCUUUUGCCUAAGGUGCCCUUUGCGGGUUUUCCCCUUAGCCUCUCCAUUUUUACUAUUUCAUUUUUCAUUUUUCAUUUUUGUUUUUCAUCUUUUUUUUUGCCCUUUGCGGGUUUUCCCCUUAGCCUCUCCAUUUUUACUAUUUCAUUUUUUAUUUUUCAUUUUCGUUUUUCAUCUUUUUUUUUGUUUUUUUAUUCUUGAAAUCCAUUGUCUUGCAGUACGGUGACAAAUUGUGAUGUCUGAUUUUGAACUGAUUACAGCCCUCAGCUAUCGUGCUGUCAUUCAAGUUCAAUACAAUUUCCAAUACCAUCCUCUCUGGAGUUCUAUAUCGGCAUAUGAUGACAUUGACGCAUGCAGUAGCCUCUAUCCAUUUGAUGAAGUAAUUAAUGAUCUCAAUAGUGAAGCAGUGCCCAUUAGAAGUCUUCAAUAAUGAUGAUGUUCAUGCCCCAUUUUACUCGAAAUUUGAG